rnacentral:rRNA from 1 species
CCUACGGGCGGCAGCAGUAGGGAAUCUUCCACAAUGGGCGCAAGCCUGAUGGAGCAACACCGCGUGAGUGAAGAAGGGUUUCGGCUCGGAAAGCUCUGUUGUUGGAGAAGAACGUGCGUGAGAGUAACUGUUCACGCAGUGACGGUAUCCAAACAGAAAGUCACGGCUAACUACGUGACAGCAGCCGCGGUAAUACGUAGGUGGCAAGCGUUAUCCGGAUUUAUUGGGGGUAAAGCGAGCGCAGGCGGUUGGUUAGGUCUGAUGUGAAAGUCUUCGGCUUAACCGAAGAAGUGCAUCUGAAAUCGGGCGACUUGAGUACAGAAGAGGACAGUGGAACUCCAUGUGUAGCGGUGGAAUGCGUAGAUAUAUGGAAGAACACCGAUGGCGAAGGCAGCUGUCUGGUCUGCCACUGACGCUGAGGCUCGAAAGCAUGGGUAGCGAACAGGAUUAGAUACCCGGGUAGUC